UUUGAAAAUUAUGAAUAUUCUAUGGAAUAGAAACGUUUUAGCAUUUUGCCCUAGGAGAACUAAUGUAAACCAAUAUUUUUGAAAACUUCUGUGAGCAGGGAACUGACUCUUGGCCAGAGAAGGAGCCCAGGAAGCCAGACAGCUUGUCAGAACUUUUGACUGCUCCCUUUCCAAUGAGGUAGCUUACAACAUUCUGGCUCCUUGUGCUGAUUGUGACUGGGAUAGAGGCUACCUCUGGGGUCAUGGAUAGAUCCACACCAGAGCAGAACUGAGAAUCCUUUACCUCAUCUGAUAUCUCUCUGGAAGGAGCUCUGCAGAGUCAGAAAUACCAUUUUUCAGAUGCUGAGGAGUUGUCAUAUUUGCUGAUGAUAUAAUUUCUUUUUCUGUCUGGGA
rnacentral:lncRNA from 1 species